rnacentral:misc_RNA from 1 species
AUGCAAUGAAAAGCCUUGCGUCGCUGGAAGCAUGACAUGAUAAACAGAGAAAGCAUCUAAUGCCCAUCACUAAAAAUGUGUGUAAAAUUACUGGAAAUUUUACCAGAUAAAAAAUCCUAAACAGAUAUCACAUAUUAUAAACAUUAAAAAAUAAACAUAAAACGAGGAGCUCAAAAUUCCGAAGCAUACAAAUAAACUCGCUGCAAACUAAAACCGCGUCCCGUUAAAGUUUCACAGUUCACAAAGAAGAGUGACAAAAAUCACAACUUCCUGGUAAAAGAUGUAGUUUGGAAAACAAUUUUACAAUCAGCAGGCAGACUGAUCAAAAGAGCAACAAAGAUCCAAUUCCCGUCUAAAAUUGACAUAGAAUCAUAAAGCAAUUGAUGAUUUCAUAAUUAAAGAAUAAAAUAAAGUUGGCAGAAGCAAUUGAAGAACAGGUUUCAGUA